CGUAUUUAGUCUUCUAGUAAAAUCUAUAAAAUGUCUUAUAUUUUGAAACGGAGGAAGUAGAUUGAUGACUUCUUCGUUAGAGCCCGUCAUUACAAAAGCUAGAAGAUAUACGUCCAUCGGAUCUAAUACACAACUGUUGCCUGCUACGCUCGUCAACUACGCAAAACAAUAAAAAAAAUCCUUCCUUGCGCUCAUGAAUCGAAGUCAUAGUCCCACUUGACGUCCUCGGCCGCAUCGAGGUAAUACAUCUUGAUCUCGUCGUGCUUGAACUUGCGUCCCCCCUUGCACGCCGAUCUGCCCCCGAAACGCGCCGCGGCGGUUGGUCGGCUUCCGGACUUGGACUGGUUGGUCGGCUUCCGCGGCGCCCGGAUGUAGCCGCCAUUGGCCACCACCUGGCCGUCCACCAGGGCGCGGUCGUACACGCGCACCCACCCUCGCAGCCGUCCCUCGCGCCGCAUCGUCGCUCGUUUCCUUUGGUUUGCUU
rnacentral:lncRNA from 1 species